CACGUAGUUAGCCGGGGCUUCUUAGUCAGGUACUGUCACUUUCUUCCCUGCUGAUAGAGCUUUACAUACCGAGAUACUUCAUCGCUCACGCGGCGUCGCUGCAUCAGGGUUUCCCCCAUUGUGCAAUAUUCCCCACUGCUGCCUCCCGCAGGAGUCUGGGCCGUGUCUCAGUCCCAAUGUGGCCGGCCGCCCCCUCAGGCCGGCUACUGAUCGUCGCCUUGGUGGGCCGUUACCCCGCCAACGAGCUAAUCAGACGCGGGCCCAUCCCAUACCACCGGAGUUUUCCCCAGGAAGCUAUGCAGCCUCCUGGGCGUAUGCGGUAUUAGCAGCCGUUUCCGGCUGUUAUCCCCCGGUAUGGGGCAGGUUGCCCACGCGUUACUCACCCGUCCGCCACUCAGACAGUUACCGUUCCUCCCCGAAGGGAAUCCCUGUAACCGCUUCGUUCGACUUGCAUGUGUUAAGCACGCCGCCAGCGUUCAUCCUGAGCCAGGAUCAAACUCU
rnacentral:rRNA from 1 species